CAGUAGUAAGCUCCGUUUCCGGCUUAGGAUCAGGGUCUGGAGAAGGGGGUGUCUGGAGGCGCCAUGUCGGGCCGGGAAGGUGGCAAAAAGAAGCCCCUGAAACAGCCCAAGAAGCAGGCCAAGGAAAUGGACGAGGAAGAUAAGGCUUUCAAGCAGAAACAAAAAGAGGAGCAGAAGAAACUCGAGGAGCUAAAAGCCAAGGCCGCGGGGAAGGGACCUCUGGCCACAGGUGGAAUUAAGAAAUCUGGCAAAAAGUAAGCUGUUCCUCAUAUCUGAGAUGAUGGUGACCCUCUUCCAUUCCUAUUUAAACAUCUGGAUU